UACGUAGGGCGCAAGCGUUGUCCGGAUUCACUGGGUGUAAAGGGUGCGCAGGCGGACUGGCAAGUCAGGGGUGAAAUCUCACAGCUCAACUGUGAAACUGCCUUUGAUACUGCUGGUCUUGAGUCAGGGAGAGGUUGAUGGAAUUCCAGGUGUAGCGGUGAAAUGCGUAGAUAUCUGGAAGAACACCGGUGGCGAAGGCGGUCAAACUGGCCCUGAACUGACGCUCAGGCACGAAAGCGUGGGGAUCGAAACAGGAU
rnacentral:rRNA from 1 species